CAGCCUAUAAAGGCGGUGUCACUCCAGCCUCUGGAAACCCGCCUGCUCAGCCUCCAGGGAGCUCUCCUUCCUCUGCUGUCAUCGUGGCCCAGCCUGGCAGCCACAAUGAGGCUUUUCUACCUUCUGUUGCUGCCUCUUUGCCUGCUCUUCGCCCAGGUGGCCCCAGGUGAUGGCCUCUUUUCAGGUCUCUUCCACAGAUACCCAGAAUACCAAUGUGCCAAAAAGGGGGGCACCUGUAACUUUUCCCCGUGCCCGCUCUUUACCAGGGUUGAUGGCGCCUGUUACAGUGGGAAGGCCAAGUGCUGCGUCUGAGCUGGGAGCAGCGGAGGCAAAACGCAGGAGCCAUGUGAACACUUUGUAGGCGUUGUUUUAAUAAAAGAAGACUUUUUUUUGUUUCUGAAGCA